rnacentral:rRNA from 1 species
GACGAACGCUGGCGGCGUGCCUAAUACAUGCAAGUCGAACGCUGAAGGAGGAGCUUGCUCUUCUGGAUGAGUUGCGAACGGGUGAGUAACGCGUAGGUAACCUGCCUGGUAGCGGGGGAUAACUAUUGGAAACGAUAGCUAAUACCGCAUAACAGUAGAUGUUGCAUGACAUUUGCUUAAAAGGUGCAAUUGCACCACUACCAGAUGGACCUGCGUUGUAUUAGCUAGUUGGUGGGGUAACGGCUCACCAAGGCGACGAUACAUAGCCGACCUGAGAGGGUGAUCGGCCACACUGGGACUGAGACACGGCCCAGACUCCUACGGGAGGCAGCAGUAGGGAAUCUUCGGCAAUGGACGGAAGUCUGACCGAGCAACGCCGCGUGAGUGAAGAAGGUUUUCGGAUCGUAAAGCUCUGUUGUAAGAGAAGAACGAGUGUGAGAGUGGAAAGUUCACACUGUGACGGUAGCUUACCAGAAAGGGACGGCUAACUACGUG